rnacentral:rRNA from 1 species
GAUGAACGCUGGCGGCGUGCCUAAUACAUGCAAGUCGAGCGAACGGACGAGAAGCUUGCUUCUCUGAUGUUAGCGGCGGACGGGUGAGUAACACGUGGAUAACCUACCUAUAAGACUGGGAUAACUUCGGGAAACCGUAGCUAAUACCGGAUAAUAUUUUGAACCGCAUGGUUCAAAAGUGAAAGACGGUCUUGCUGUCACUUAUAGAUGGAUCCGCGCUGCAUUAGAUAGUUGGUAAGGUAACGGCUUACCGAGGCAACGAUGCAUAGCCGACCUGAGAGGGUGAUCGGCCACACUGGAACUGAGACACGGUCCAGACUCCUACGGGAGGCAGCAGUAGGGAAUCUUCCGCAAUGGGCGAAAGCCUGACGGAGCAACGCCGCGUGAGUGAUGAAGGUCUUCGGAUCGUAAAACUCUGUUAUUAGGGAAGAACAUAUGUGUAAGUAACUGUGCACAUCUUGACGGUACCUAAUCAGAAAGCCACGGCUAACUACGUG